rnacentral:snRNA from 1 species
UACAAUUGGACUUCUAGUUCA